CUCGUUAUCGGCGUUUUAUUUCUUCCGUGUUGCAGAUCUAUGUAUUUGUCAGAUAUCGAACAAAACUAUAUAAAGUUUGUUUAUUUACAAUGUCAGUGUUACGCAGAGAAAUAAAACGGUGAAAUUUUCAUCAUAUGAUACUAGCGUAAAUUUGAAUGCUGACAGUCCGGCAACCAUUUGACGCUCUCCGGUAUAAAGCGGGCGAAUCCUAGUUUCAAACAAAACAGAGAAAUUCAGUCGUGUAACAACUUUCGGUGGGGUUGGGUGUAUUUUGUGUUUCGUGAAAAAGCGCGAUAAUUUUCCGAAAAAAAAAAUCUAAAAGUUUAUCGUCUGCUUCACAAAUAAAUUAUAAUUCUAAAGCUUUUCAUAGGAUGCUCGCUCAGAUAGCUGUUAUUAAACGUUGCAAUUUGCACCGCUUCGUCGCACUUUCUGACAGAGUUUUCCCGAGGCGUAUAUUUUCAAACAACUAGAUAGUGUUCCUACGUUCGAUUGCAAGAAGCCUGGUGUGAAUCAAAUCAACUUGAGCAGAAAGAAAAAUAUCCAGGAGUGACUAUUUGCGGCGCUAUUGCAGUGUUAGUAUGCGCUAAACAGAUAGAAAAUCUCGGCGCCAUCCGUGUCGUUAGUUAGAAGAGAGGGCGGCUGGUGUGUAUUUCAAUCAAUCUGAGUUUGAAUAGAAACGCGGGAUCACAGCUAAAUUAAUGGAAGGUAAUAAAAAGCGGAUAUUGUGAGACCUACAUUGCCAUAAUCGACGACAGCAACAACAAAUGAACAGUCUACUGCUAUGCAGUUUUGAUUGGGCUGCUGGUUAGGCAAGAGAUGGAAGUAACCAGUGACAAACUAGGAGCUUGAUAAAUCCAUAGUCCGGAAACAUUGCGAUUGCUAGCGGUACCCGGUGCGAAACAUACUUUCGCAUUCCUUUCUUUUCGGUGGAUUCGCCAUGGAAGGCGAGGUGAGUGUUCUGCUGGUGAUAACGGUGAUAAUCGGUACAGUACUCAUGACAUCCUUGCUUGCCUGCUAUAUAUGCGUUUUUCGGCAACUGUGCUGCUCCAAUGACAUGGAUCUGGACCGGGGGUACAGCCAGAGGAGCUCCAAACGAACCUACACACAUCGCGAUAGUACUAACAUGGCAGAAAUCACGAACAUCACUAGUCAGCAGACGGAAAUCGAGAAAGUCUAGCUACGGUCGGGCGAAGCAAUUACUUCGCUCUAAUGAACCCAAUGUAUGCCUCCUUAAAAUAGGCGCACGUAGUUUUCAAAUUGAAAAGCAGUCACGCGAUAUCGGUUUGUCAACUCCAUAAACAGCGACGAAACGAUAUGAGAUCGUGAAUAUUUGUAUACUCUGUGUAGAUAAAUGUUAGGAUAAAAAAAAUGUGAAACUACCCUAUCGCUGAUCUAGCGUUAUUGCCACACAACAAACCAAUCAUCAUAAUAAAACUAUCCAACUAUUCGUGUCAACGAAAAAGUUGUGAAAAUUUCCAAUUACUACAAA